CCUACGGGCGGCAGCAGUGAGGAAUAUUGGUCAAUGGACGCGAGUCUGAACCAGCCAUGCCGCGUGAAGGAUGACGGCCCUAUGAGUUGUAAACUGCUUUUGUACAAGGAUAAACGCAGAUACGCGUGUCUGUCUGAAAGUAUUGUACGAAUAAGGAUCGGCUAACUCCGUGCCAGCAGCCGCGGUAAUACGGAGGAUUCAAGCGUUAUCCGGAUUUAUUGGGUUUAAAGGGUGCGUAGAUGGUCGGUUAAGUCAGUUGUGAAAGUUUGAGGCUCAACCGUGAAAUUGCAAUUGAUACUGGCAGCCUUGAGUAUAGUUGCGGUAGGCGGAAUGCGUGGUGUAGCGGUGAAAUGCUUAGAGAUCACGAAGAACUCCGAUUGCGAAGGCAGCUUACUAAGCUGCCUCUGACGUUGAGGCUCGAAAGUGUGGGUAUCAAACAGGAUUAGAUACCCUGGUAGUC
rnacentral:rRNA from 1 species